ACGAACGCUGGCGGCAUGCCUAACACCUGCCAGUCGAACGAGACCUUCGGGUCUCGUGGCCCACGGGUGCUUACCGCGUGGGAACCUGCCCUUAGUUUCGGAAUAACCCCCCGGAAUGGGUGCUAAUACCGGAACCUGUCCUCGUACCAAAGAUUUAUUGCCUUCGGAUGGGUCCGUGUUGGAUUAGCUAGUUGGUAGGGGAAAAGCCUACCACGGCGACGAUCCAUAGCUUUUCUGAGAGGAAGAUCCGCCACACUGGGAGUGCGACACGGCCCAGACUCCUACGGGAGGCGGCAGUGGGGAAUAUUGGACAAUGGGCGAAAGCCUGAUCCAGCAAUGCCGCGUGAGUGAUGAAGGCCGUAGGGUUGUAAAGCUCUUGUACCCGGGAUGAUAAUGACAGUACCGGGAGAAUAAGCCCCGGCUAACUCCGUG
rnacentral:rRNA from 1 species